rnacentral:tRNA from 1 species
CCUGACGCUCGCCGACAUGCUUUACGCCCGGUUCGUUGACGACGACUUUGUAGGGGCCGGUUCCGAUGCCGGCCGUCGGGUC